rnacentral:rRNA from 1 species
UACGUAGGGGGCUAGCGUUGUCCGGAAUCAUUGGGCGUAAAGAGCGUGUAGGCGGCCCGGUAAGUCCGCUGUGAAAGUCGGGGGCUCAACCCUCGGAUGCCGGUGGAUACUGUCGGGCUAGAGUACGGAAGAGGCGAGUGGAAUUCCCGGUGUAGCGGUGAAAUGCGCAGAUAUCGGGAGGAACACCAAUUGCGAAGGCAGCUCGCUGGGACGUCACUGACGCUGAGACGCGAAAGCGUGGGGAGCAAACAGG